AAUGAACGUUGGCGGCGUGGAUUAGGCAUGCAAGUCGAGCGCGAAACGUAGCAAUACGUGGAAAGCGGCGAAAGGGAAAGUAAUACAUAGGUACGUACCCUUGGACCUGGGAUAGCGGCGGGAAACUGCCGGUAAUACCAGAUAAUGUCUCCGGACCAAAGGUGUGACUCCGUCUGAGGAGCGGCCUAUGUCCUAUUCGCUGGGUGGGAAGGUAACGGCUUACCAAGGCAAAGAUGGGUAUGGGGUGUGAGAGCAUUCCCCCACUCACUGGGGCUGAGACACCGCCCAGACACCUACGGGUGGCUGCAGUGGAGAAUCGUCGGCAAUGGACGCAAGUCUGACCGAGCGACGCCGCGUGCGGGAUGAAGGCCUUCGGGUUGUAAACCGCUGUCGUAGGGGAGGAAAUGCAGGUGGGUACUCCCAUCUGCUUGACUGAUCCUAGGAGGAAGGACCGGCUAAUCUCGUGCCAGCAGCCGCGGUAA
rnacentral:rRNA from 1 species